UAAAAUAAAAUAAAAAACCCACUCAAGAACGUCCAUAUAUAUGGAUUUGAAAGUUGGAACUGGUCAUACAAUAUUAUCAUUGUGACGUUUAUGAAUUUUAUAAUUUAUAGUAUAUAUUAUGAAAAAAAAAAAAAAAAAACUCAAUGUCAGUCAGUUUCGAAUUUGGGAUAAGCAUUUAUUUUCUUAGCUUUUUUUCAUGUGGUUUUAAUUGUCUCACGUAUACAUAUUGACCACUGAAUAUCAAAAUCAGUUACAUUACUAUUUGGAGCGACGUUAAAUAUUAGUCAUCGAAAUCAAUCUAGAAGACAAA
rnacentral:lncRNA from 1 species